rnacentral:rRNA from 1 species
GACGAACGCUGGCGGCGUGCUUAACACAUGCAAGUCGAACGGAAAGGCCCUGCUUGCAGGGUACUCGAGUGGCGAACGGGUGAGUAACACGUGGGUGAUCUCCCCUGCACUUCGGGAUACGCCUGGGAAACUGGGUCUAUUACCGGAUAGGAGCCAUGGUUAGUGUGAUGGUUGGAAAGUUUUUUCGGUGUAGGAUGAGCUCGCGGCCUAUCAGCUUGUUGGUGGGGUAAUGGCCUACCAAGGCGGCGACGGGUAGCCGGCCUGAGAGGGUGGACGGCCACAUUGGGACUGAGAGACGGCCCAGACUCCUACGGGAGGCAGCAGUGGGGAAUAUUGCACAAUGGGCGCAAGGCUGAUGCAGCGGGGCCGCGUGGGGGAUGACGGCCUUCGGGUUGUAGACUCCUAGCGCUAGGGACGAAGCUUUUUGUGACGGUACCUAGAUAAGAAGCACCGGCUAACUACGUG